UGUAUAAUGGGUCAGCGACUUAUAUUCUGUAGCAAGGUUAACCGAAUAGGGGAGCCGAAGGGAAACCGAGUCUUAACUGGGCGUUAAGUUGCAGGGUAUAGACCCGAAACCCGGUGAUCUAGCCAUGGGCAGGUUGAAGGUUGGGUAACACUAACUGGAGGACCGAACCGACUAAUGUUGAAAAAUUAGCGGAUGACUUGUGGCUGGGGGUGAAAGGCCAAUCAAACCGGGAGAUAGCUGGUUCUCCCCGAAAGCUAUUUAGGUAGCGCCUCGUGAAUUCAUCUCCGGGGGUAGAGCACUGUUUCGGCAAGGGGGUCAUCCCGACUUACCAACCCGAUGCAAACUGCGAAUACCGGAGAAUGUUAUCACGGGAGACACACGGCGGGUGCUAACGUCCGUCGUGAAGAGGGAAACAACCCAGACCGCCAGCUAAGGUCCCAAAGUCAUGGUUAAGUGGGAAACGAUGUGGGAAGGCCCAGACAGCCAGGAUGUUGGCUUAGAAGCAGCCAUCAUUUAAAGAAAGCGUAAUAGCUCACUGGUCGAGUCGGCCUGCGCGGAAGAUGUAACGGGGCUAAACCAUGCACCGAAGCUGCGGCAGCGACACUAUGUGUUGUUGGGUAGGGGAGCGUUCUGUAAGCCUGUGAAGGUGGCCUGUGAGGGUUGCUGGAGGUAUCAGAAGUGCGAAUGCUGACAUAAGUAACGAUAAAGCGGGUGAAAAGCCCGCUCGCCGGAAGACCAAGGGUUCCUGUCCAACGUUAAUCGGGGCAGGGUGAGUCGACCCCUAAGGCGAGGCCGAAAGGCGUAGUCGAUGGGAAACAGGUUAAUAUUCCUGUACUUGGUGUUACUGCGAAGGGGGGACGGAGAAGGCUAUGUUGGCCGGGCGACGGUUGUCCCGGUUUAAGCGUGUAGGCUGGUUUUCCAGGCAAAUCCGGAAAACCAAGGCUGAGGCGUGAUGACGAGGCACUACGGUGCUGAAGCGACAAAUGCCCUGCUUCCAGGAAAAGCCUCUAAGCAUCAGGUAACAUCAAAUCGUACCCCAAACCGACACAGGUGGUCAGGUAGAGAAUACCAAGGCGCUUGAGAGAACUCGGGUGAAGGAACUAGGCAAAAUGGUGCCGUAACUUCGGGAGAAGGCACGCUGAUAUGUAGGUGAAGCGACUUGCUCGUGGAGCUGAAAUCAGUCGAAGAUACCAGCUGGCUGCAACUGUUUAUUAAAAACACAGCACUGUGCAAACACGAAAGUGGACGUAUACGGUGUGACGCCUGCCCGGUGCCGGAAGGUUAAUUGAUGGGGUUAGCGGCAACGCGAAGCUCUUGAUCGAAGCCCCGGUAAACGGCGGCCGUAACUAUAACGGUCCUAAGGUAGCGAAAUUCCUUGUCGGGUAAGUUCCGACCUGCACGAAUGGCGUAAUGAUGGCCAGGCUGUCUCCACCCGAGACUCAGUGAAAUUGAACUCGCUGUGAAGAUGCAGUGUACCCGCGGCAAGACGGAAAGACCCCGUGAACCUUUACUAUAGCUUGACACUGAACAUUGAGCCUUGAUGUGUAGGAUAGGUGGGAGGCUUUGAAGUGUGGACGCCAGUCUGCAUGGAGCCGACCUUGAAAUACCACCCUUUAAUGUUUGAUGUUCUAACGUUGGCCCGUAAUCCGGGUUGCGGACAGUGUCUGGUGGGUAGUUUGACUGGGGCGGUCUCCUCCUAAAGAGUAACGGAGGAGCACGAAGGUUGGCUAAUCCUGGUCGGACAUCAGGAGGUUAGUGCAAUGGCAUAAGCCAGCUUGACUGCGAGCGUGACGGCGCGAGCAGGUGCGAAAGCAGGUCAUAGUGAUCCGGUGGUUCUGAAUGGAAGGGCCAUCGCUCAACGGAUAAAAGGUACUCCGGGGAUAACAGGCUGAUACCGCCCAAGAGUUCAUAUCGACGGCGGUGUUUGGCACCUCGAUGUCGGCUCAUCACAUCCUGGGGCUGAAGUAGGUCCCAAGGGUAUGGCUGUUCGCCAUUUAAAGUGGUACGCGAGCUGGGUUUAGAACGUCGUGAGACAGUUCGGUCCCUAUCUGCCGUGGGCGCUGGAGAACUGAGGGGGGCUGCUCCUAGUACGAGAGGACCGGAGUGGACGCAUCACUGGUGUUCGGGUUGUCAUGCCAAUGGCACUGCCCGGUAGCUAAAUGCGGAAGAGAUAAGUGCUGAAAGCAUCUAAGCACGAAACUUGCCCCGAGAUGAGUUCUCCCUGACUCCUUGAGAGUCCUGAAGGAACGUUGAAGACGACGACGUUGAUAGGCCGGGUGUGUAAGCGCAGCGAUGCGUUGAGCUAACCGGUACUAAUGAACCGUGAG
rnacentral:rRNA from 1 species